rfam:Ailuropoda melanoleuca scaffold1762_4, whole genome shotgun sequence.
GCCUGGCUGGCUAAAUUGGUAGAGCAUGUGACUCUUGAUCUUGGGGUUGUGGGUUCAAGCCCCACAUUGGGUG